rnacentral:rRNA from 1 species
AAUGAACGCUGGCGGUAGGCCUAACACAUGCAAGUCGAACGGCAGCACAGGAGAGCUUGCUCUCUGGGUGGCGAGGGGCGGGCGGGUGAGGAAUACAUAGGAAUCUGCCCAGUCGGGGGGGAUAACGUGGGGAAACUUACGCUAAUACCGCAUACGACCUGCGGGUGAAAGAGGGGGAUAGCAAGACCUCUCGCGAUUGGAUACGCCGAGGUCGGAUUAGCUAGUUGGCGGGGUAAUGGCCCACAAAGGCGACGAGCCGUAGCUGGUCUGAGUGGAUGAUCAGCCACACUGGAACUUAGACACGGUCCAGACUCCUACGGGAGGCAGCAGUGGGGAAUAUUGGUCAAUGGGCGCAAGCCUGAUCCAGCCAUACCGCGUGGGUGAAGAAGGCCUUCGGGUUGUAAAGCCCUUUUGUUGGGAAAGAAAUCUUUCAGGCUAAUACCCUGGGAGGAUGACGGUACCCAAAGAAUAAGCACCGGCUAACUUCGUG